AUUGAACGCUGGCGGAAUGCUUUACACAUGCAAGUCGAACGGUAGAGGGGGCAACCCCUUGAGAGUGGCGAACGGGUGAGUAAUAUAUCGGAACGUGCCCAGUCGUGGGGAUAACGUAGCGAAAGUUACGCUAAUACCGCAUACGAUCUAAGGAUGAAAGCGGGGGAUCGCAAGACCUCGCGCGAUUGGAGCGGCCGAUAUCAGAUUAGGUAGUUGGUGAGGUAAAGGCUCACCAAGCCAACGAUCUGUAGCUGGUCUGAGAGGACGACCAGCCACACUGGAACUGAGACACGGCCCAGACUCCUACGGGAGGCAGCAGUGGGGAAUUUUGGACAAUGGGCGCAAGCCUGAUCCAGCAAUGCCGCGUGCAGGAUGAAGG
rnacentral:rRNA from 1 species